rnacentral:rRNA from 1 species
UGAGGAAUAUUGGUCAAUGGACGCAAGUCUGAACCAGCCAUGCCGCGUGAAGGAUGAAGGUCCUCUGGAUUGUAAACUUCUUUUAUAAACGAAGAAACCCCGAAUUUCUAUUUGGGUUGACGGUACUUUAUGAAUAAGCACCGGCUAACUCCGUGCCAGCAGCCGCGGUAAUACGGAGGGUGCAAGCGUUAUCCGGAUUCACUGGGUUUAAAGGGAGCGUAGGUGGGUCUGUAAGUCAGUGGUGAAAUCCCCGAGCUUAACUUGGGAACUGCCAUUGAUACUAUGGAUCUUGAAUUCUGUGGAGGUAAGCGGAAUAUAUCAUGUAGCGGUGAAAUGCUUAGAUAUGAUAUAGAACACCGAUAGCGAAGGCAGCUUACUACGCAGCGAUUGACACUGAGGC